rnacentral:rRNA from 1 species
AUGAAGUCCUAUCUGGAGGAAAUUGAGUUGAACAAGACGAAGCAGGACAAACCACUUGUGAAACCUACAGCAAGGACACGGGCGUGGAUAUGUCCACCUCACGAGCACAUGAAAAACAAUGUGGAUGCAGCGGUUUCCAGGGAGGGGAGAUCCGGAGCUGUUGGAGCUAUAUGCAGAGAUGAAGCAGGAGGAUUUUUGGGCGCAUCGACACUUGUUGUCAGCAAUAUCUCUGACCCCCAAAUUCUGGAAAUAAUAGCAAUUAGAGAGGCUCUUGCUCUUGCAGAGGAUCUUUACAUAAACAAAAUGUCCAUUGCAUCAGAUUGCAAGAUGGCCAUUGAUGCGAUCAAAGAAGGGAGUUCCGCUGCCUUUGGAGCAAUAAUUAAGGAGAUUAUAGCUAGAACGAGCAUUUUUCUUCAUGUAUUUUUAGUCAUGAGUAUAGGACCUCGAAUGUAG